UAUAUGAAAAGUAGAAAUUAGGCCUGCUCUGAGCUCACAUGGAGCAGUUUACAAGGCAUCAGACAUAAUUUGUUCUUUAUGUGAUCAAGUAAAAUGAAUAUGUAACUGUUAUCUUUUGUAAUUGUCAGCACUAUAAAUAUUGCAGUGGUAGUACCAAGCAGUACAAUACUGAAAACCUUGGGUUUAAAAAGGGAACUCCUUACUUUUUGCCAUGGUUCUGUGAUUGUUUUUUUUCCCCAGACUCUGUAGAAUGGUCAUUUUUUUUUUUGUAAAAAGAAAAGUACAAUCCCACCUGCAAUUUAGAGAAGAAUACUUAUGUCUGUCAAGGAGAAGUGCAUGCUUCUGUUCAGUGGAUUUCUCCUCAUUCAGACAAGUCCAGCUGCAUCCAGCGUUUAAGUGUUGAUGGAUCAUCUCCAAACAGAAUUCUUCCCUUCAGAGAAGCCAGGAAAGUGAUGUGUCCAUUGGGAAAGACUUGGUCCCUCUCCACAGACAGGAGCUCAGCCUGGCUGCUCCUUUUUCUGAGAAGAACAGAACAUAAAGCAAUAAAAAAAUAUGGCUUCAUGGUAUUGUGCUUCCAUUGUCCUAGGUCAGCUGGGAGUUUUCUUGCUAUGUAAACCUACAGGUAUAUAAAAAUGGGAUCUGAGAUACACCUCUGUCCAGUCAACAUUUUGACAAGGAAUCAGUGACUGAAGUGAGGUGCAUCAGGUGAUUCUCCUCACCCACGGUGGUGAUUGCUGACAUCAUGUGCAUUCUUCCUGAGCCUGGACUACACCAAUCAAGGCAGUUUUGGGUAACACAGAGAUACUUCACACAUAUGGCCUUCUUCAGAUACAAUUGUGUCCUCCAGCUGCUGAGCUACUUUAGACUACAUUGUCACCUGCUUCUUCGGGCACUAAAGACAAGAAGACUCUCAGAGGUAGAGACAUUUCACAGGAUGGACAAAGAUUGCUCCACUUCAUGCAGCAGAACCCAGAAGUUCUACACCAGGUGAUGUCAGUCCUAAUGAACACCAUCAUCUUUGGAGACUGAAGAAACCAAUGGCCUGUGUCAAGACUGCUGCUUAGACUCACACUUCCUAAUGAGAAAGUCACUCAGAGCAUGCUGGAGAGACGUGGCCAAAGCUCUGCACUGCAAAGGGGCCUCCAUUCCCAAGGGCGUGGAUCUGAUUUGACAAGGACUUUGGAAACAGAGAACUGACUGACAAACCCUCUUGGAAAAUGCUGGCACCCUGUUAUUUUCCAGAGAGAUUUUUUACUCUUGUGAAAACUAUUUUUUAAGAUAUUUUCUGCAUUUUUCAAUCUCUAGCCUAAAUGUAAAGAUUUAUAAUAGUGAAAACAAUGGAAAGUCAGCCUUACUUUGAAGAAUGUUUUCAGCCUUUCUUAUCAAAAUUUAUAAUCCUGUUGUUUUAGUUUUAUGAAACAGUGUAAAAAUAGUGUAUAACUAGAGAAAAAAAGGAUAUGCAUUCAUUCUGAAUUUGUGUCAGUUCAUGAUUCUCAGUUCUGUACAUAAUAGUAAAUAAUAUCUCAUCAGUUCAAACCUCUUAGCUCACUCCUGAAGACAUAUUUGUUUGAAAAUGAGAUGAAAGCCAGUACAAACUUUAUAUGACACCUUUUCAAACUAUUUUUCUGCAAAAUGUUCUACAUUUCUUUGUAGCACAGGUGGUUAAUGACAAUGAGGACCACAAAGAAGACUGAAAACAAGCAUUUUUAGGCUAUAAGCGUAGCAAGAAAAUUGAAUGUUGCACAGAGUGGAAUGAGAGAGGAUGGAGCAAGACUUAGUGAAGUACUGAUGUGUUAUUUCACAAGUACACAUUUUCCAUGUCUUUAGAAUCAGGAAAAAAAGAACCACGGAAGAAAAUGGAGGUGUUAUAACCCUUUACAAAGCAUAAAGUUUAUCCAAAACUGCAGAAAAAAGAAAGAGACUUACACUGGGGAGCAGUGGGUGUCCUGUGCUGGGCAGGAGGGGCUC